rnacentral:rRNA from 1 species
CCGGAUAACGCUUGCCACCUACGUAUUACCGCGGCUGCUGGCGCGUAGUUAGCCGUGGCUUUCUGGUUAGAUACCGUCGAAACGUGAACAGUUACUCUCACGCACUUUCUUCUCUAACAACAGGGUUUUACGAUCCGAAGACCUUCUUCACCCACGCGGCGUUGCUCCAUCAGGCUUUCGCCCAUUGUGGAAGAUGCCCUACUGCUGCCUCCCGUAGGAGUUUGGGCCGUGUCUCAGUCCCAAUGUGGCCGAUCAACCUCUCAGUUCGGCUACGCAUCAUUGCCUUGGUAAGCCUUAACCCCACCAACUAGCUAUUGCGUCGCGGGCCCAUCCAAAAGCGGUAGCAUAGCCACCUUUUACAUAGUUACCAUGCGGUAACUAUGGUUAUGCGGUAUUAGCACCUGUUUCCAAGUGUUAUCCCCCUCUUUUGGGCAGGUUGCCCACGUGUUACUC